rfam:Ovis aries breed Texel chromosome 8, whole genome shotgun sequence.
UCCCUGGUGGCUCAGAGGUUAAAGCGUCUGCCUUCAACGUGGGAAACCUGGGUUCUAUCCCUGGCUCGGGAA